UUGGACGUUAUUCCUGUUGUAGUGGUAUGAACUGGUGAACCGUAGCUAAUGCGUGACUUGGCUUUUGAACCGGCUUUGCURWGCGAAGUAGAGUGACAGUUUCGGCUGUCGAGUGUCGACCCAUUUGGGAAAUUGUGCCGUGUGACUUCGGUUGCGUAGCAUCUCAAUUGGACCUGAUAUCAGGGCAAGAUUACCCGCUGAACUUAAGCAUAUUAUA
rnacentral:rRNA from 1 species